GAAAUGCGAUAAGUAAUGUGAAUUGCAGAAUUCAGUGAAUUAUCGAAUCUUUGAACGCACCUUGCGCUCCUUGGUAUUCCUUGGAGCAUGCCUGUUUGAGUAUCAUGAAAUCUUCAAAGUAAAUCUUUUGUUAACUCAAUUGGUUUCUACUUUGGUAUUGGAGGUCUUUGCAGCUUCACACCUGCUCCUCUUUGUUCAUUAGCUGGAUCUCAGUGUUAUGCUUGGUUCCACUCGGCGUGAUAAGUUAUCUAUCGCUGAGGACACUGUAAAAGGUGGCCAAGGUAAAUGCAGAUGAACCGCUUCUAAUAGUCCAUUGACUUGGACAAUACUUUUAUGAUCUGAUCUCAAAUCAGGUAGGACUACCCGCUGAACUUAAGC
rnacentral:misc_RNA from 1 species